rnacentral:rRNA from 1 species
CCUACGGGUGGCUGCAGUGGGGAAUAUUGGACAAUGGGGGCAACCCUGAUCCAGCCAUGCCGCGUGUGUGAAGAAGGCCCUCGGGUUGUAAAGCACUUUCAGUGAGGAAGAACGCCUGGUGGUUAAUACCCAUCAGGAAAGACAUCACUCACAGAAGAAGCACCGGCUAACUCCGUGCCAGCAGCCGCGGUAAUACGGAGGGUGCGAGCGUUAAUCGGAAUUACUGGGCGUAAAGCGCGCGUAGGUGGCUUGAUAAGCCGGUUGUGAAAGCCCCGGGCUCAACCUGGGAACGGCAUCCGGAACUGUCAAGCUAGAGUGCAGGAGAGGAAGGUAGAAUUCCCGGUUUAGCGGUGAAAUGCGUAGAGAUCGGGAGGAAUACCAGUGGCGAAGGCGGCCUUCUGGACUGACACUGACACUGAGGUGCGAAAGCGUGGGUAGCAAACAGGAUUAGAUACCCUUGUAGUC